AACGAACGCUGGCGGCAUGCCUAACACAUGCAAGUCGAACGAAGGCUUCGGCCUUAGUGGCGCACGGGUGCGUAACGCGUGGGAAUCUGCCCUUGGGUUCGGAAUAACAGUGGGAAACCGCUGCUAAUACCGGAUGAUGACGUAAGUCCAAAGAUUUAUCGCCCAAGGAUGAGCCCGCGUAGGAUUAGCUAGUUGGUGGGGUAAUGGCCCAUCAAGGCGACGAUCCUUAGCUGGUCUGAGAGGAUGAUCAGCCACACUGGGACUGAGACACGGCCCAGACUCCUACGGGAGGCAGCAGUGGGGAAUUUUGGACAAUGGGCGCAAGCCUGAUCCAGCAACGCCGCGUGAGUGAUGAAGGCCCUAGGGUUGUAAAGCUCUUUCACCGGAGAAGAUAAUGACGGUAUCCGGAGAAGAAGCCCCGGCUAACUUCGUGCCAGCCGCCGCCGUAAAAC
rnacentral:rRNA from 1 species